ACGUAGGGGGCGAGCGUUAUUCGGAAUUACUGGGUGUAAAGGGUAUGUAGGCGGCCCUUCAAGUCGCGUGUCAAAGUCCAGUGCUCAACGCUGGGUGUGCGCGCGAUACUGACGGGCUUGAGGGCUGGAGAGGUGAGCGGAAUUCCCGGUGUGGUGGUAAAAUACGUAUUGAUCGGGAGAAACACCAGCGGCGCAGGCGGCAAACAAGACAGUUUCCGACGAUAAGAUACGAAAGCGUGGUGAGAAUUGAG
rnacentral:rRNA from 1 species